rnacentral:pre_miRNA from 1 species
AUUAAAUAUAGUAAUAAAUUUUCGUAUUCAAUUUUGAUCGCUUGUUUUAUUUAAACUUUUUUAUGAUUAGUAUUUUUGUUGGUAUUAGAUGAUAAAAUAUGGAUACUACUUUAUAUGUUACUUAUGUUUUUUAAUUUUUCAAAACUUUUUAAUAAAACAGGCCAUUAAAAUUGAACGGCGCUUAAA